CCCUUAGAUGUUCUGGGCCGCACGCGCGCUACACUGAUGCAUUCAACGAGUCUAAAACCUGCUCUGAUAGGGGUGGGUAAUCUUUUGAAUGUGCAUCGUGAUUGGGAUAGAUGAUUGCAAUUUUUCGUCUUCAACGAGGAAUGCCUAGUAAACGCAAGUCAUCAGCUUGCAUUGAUUACGUCCCUGCCCUUUGUACACACCGCCCGUCGCUCCUACCGAUUGAAUGAUCCGAUGAAUAUCAUGGAUUGAGGAUUAUAGCAGGUUCGCCUGUCUUGAUCUUCGAGAAGUGAAGUAAAUCUUAUCAUUUAGAGGAAGGAGAAGUCGUAACA
rnacentral:rRNA from 1 species